GACGAACGCUGGCGGCGUGCUUAAUACAUGCAAGUCGAACGGAAAGGCCCUGCUGUUGUGGGGUGCUCGAGUGGCGAACGAGUGAGUAACACGUGAGUAACCUGCCCUUGACUUUGGGAUAACUUCAGGAAACUGGGGCUAAUAACGGCUAGGAGCUCCCGCUGAAUGGUGGGGGUUGGAAAGUUUCGGCGGUUGGGGAUGGACUUGCGGCUUAUCGGCUUAUUGGUGGGGUAGUGGCUUACCAAGGCUUUGACGGGUAGCCGGCCUGUGAGGGUGACCGGCCACAUUGGGACUGAGAGACGGCCCAGACUCCUACGUGAGGCAGCAGUGGGGAAUAUUGCACAAUGGGCGGAAGCCUGAUGCAGCAACUCCGCGUGCGGGAUGACGGCCUUCGGGUUGUAAACCGCUUUCGCCUGUGACGAAGCGUGAGUGACGGUAAUGGGUAAAGAAGCACCGGCUAACUACGUG
rnacentral:rRNA from 1 species